AGAGUUAAACAGUACGUGAAAUUGUUGAAAGGGAAACGAUUGAAGUCAGUCGUGCUGGCGCGAAAUCAGCUCGACCACUCGGGGAUCACGGGCCGUAGCGAGCCUCAAAACCGCUACGACUCGUGAUUUCUUAGUGGCCUGGUGCACUUUCGUGUCGGCUGGUUAACAUCAAUUUCGAUCGUCAUAAAAAGGCUGGAGGGAUGUGGCUCCUUCGGGAGUGUUAUAACCUUUAGCGGAAUGUGGUGGUCGGGAUUGAGGCUUGCAACGAAUACCUUCAGGGCUGUUCCACCUGGCCUCUCAUCGGAAUUCUGGCGGCGACAGCUUGCUGACGUUGUUAGGAUCGGCCUUCGAACAGGCUAGAGUGUGAGCAAAUUCGUUAAGGAUGUUAACGUAAUGGCUUUAAACGACC
rnacentral:ncRNA from 2 species